rnacentral:rRNA from 1 species
ACACGACUCUCGGCAACGGAUAUCUCGGCUCUCGCAUCGAUGAAGAACGUAGCGAAAUGUGAUACCUGGUGUGAAUUGCAGAAUCCCGCGAACCAUCGAGUCUUUGAACGCAAGUUGCGCCCGAGGCCACUCGGCCGAGGGCACGCCUGCCUGGGCGUCACGC